rnacentral:misc_RNA from 1 species
AAGUCGUAACAAGGUCUCCGUAGGUGAACCUGCGGAGGGAUCAUUAACACGUAUCCAAUACGUCCCACUCUUCAAACCCCAAAUUGCGAACCAAAUAUCCCCACUCGGAUUUAGCGGUGAACUGUAGAUCGCGGGUGAUAGACUUCGGUCUGUCUACAGUUCUGAGUGUCCAGGCGGAUUCUUCGGAGUCUGUGCUGAGAUGCAGCCGGUCUUGAAGUGGCGUAUCCUUAGUCACCUGGCUUUUAGGCCAACCCUGUUUCGACCAGGAGCCUCUAAGCCUUAGUACUCCCAAUUUUAACCCCUAUUUGAAACACUUCUGAUACUUAUGCUCUUUUCUCCUCGGAGAAAGAACAUAUACGAAAUUGCGAACAACUCUUAGCAACGGAUAUCUUGGUUCUC